AAUUUUCGAAAUUUUGUUUCAUAUACGUUCGUUGGAAUGUGUAAUAUAAAUUAAAAUAACUAUUAAAUAGCGGUGUAAAAGGUUAUUUUUUAUUCGCAAUUAAUUACUCUAUCGAUUUAAGCAAUUAAAAAUUAGUGUUAAGAGGGCAAAAAAUUAGAAAAACACAAAAAAUGUGACCCGGAAAUGCUGCAACCGGAAACUGGGUGGAUGUUUCGUAGUUACCAAAUUAAAAUGCAUGUUCUCUUUAGUAAGUCUACCAAGUUUUAUAAUAUUUGGUCAAAUAAUUCCAAACAUCUUUCCAUACCCCUACUUCCCAGAGCUGUAAAAUUCUUAUCAGUGUCGAUAGAACACGAGUUAUGAUCUCAAUUGGCAUCAUUUUAUAGGCCCUUUUUGAGAUUCAUUUAUUGUCUCAUAAAUACGAAUAACCCUGUUUAUUAGCCCAUCACAUUAGACAAAUCGGUGGAAAAAAUCCCUGGAGAGUUGGAGUUUUUUUUAAGUUGUUUUUUAAUUUGACAGAGCUAUAUUAGUUUUUUUCAAGUCCGUAUUCAUUAGGAUUCAUUUAGUUUAAAACGCCGCACCAAAUUUUAAUGUUUUAAUUUCUCUUGGAUUUUAGAAGGGGUUUGCAAGGUGAAAAAGGUUGGGAACCUCUGUUUUAAUGUGUUUUAAAGACUUCAGAAAACGAUUUAACGUGAUUUUUGGAGUGUUUUUGUAAUCAAACGUCUCUGCUUUUAUUUGAAACUUUUAUUUGAAUAUAGUGUAUAGUGUAAAUUGGCAGUUUUGAUUCAUUUAAUGAAGGAUGAAUCCACUUAAGGUAAACGUUAUUGAAAGGUGUUUGUACAACAAUUAAUUACGAUUUUCAGGUAUUGAUAUAAUCAUAUUACACCACGAAGGAUCUCACAAAUUCCUCUAAUAAGGAAAUUUCCGAAUGUUCUUGGAGAUGAUAAUGAUUCUUAGGAUGUAAAUGAAAAUCCCACGAAGAGGAGUUAAACGUGAUGUGCAGUAAUUAACAUACCACAAUAAUAAAUAAAUUUAUUGUAGUUGCAAAGUCAGUAUUUUAUAAAAGCAGGGAGUGUAGGACUUGCUAUGGUUCAAGGUUUUCAAAUUCGCCAUGUCCCUCUGUGUCUAUAUCUUUGAUGCAGACUAAUACACGAUGUUGAGCUUUUUAUUUAAAAUAAUCUUAGCACACUUUAGUAAAUCUCUGGUGUUUGCGUAAUUUACUAAUAACUAUGAUGCAAUCCUGAUUACUUUUAAAAAACUUAUAAAGAACUUCAACAUCAAACUACAGUCCGGGACAUUUCUAUUUGGACAUAAAAAAUUUGAAUUUUCUGACAUUUAUACGUGUAUUCAGCGUCUGUGUGAACAAAAAAUGUUCUCUCUCUCAUUCUAUGGUUCUUGAGCUUUAAUAACAGGGACAUUUUUUAAAUUGGUAGCAUUAGAAAAUGACAGUAAACAGCUGACUGAUGUAAACAAUAACACAAUAACAAAGGAAAUGUUAUAAUUUUAAUCUAUAUAACCAGUGGCUGCUUUAAAAGUGUGUACUAACGGGAUAAUAACAUAUUUACGCAAGUAUUUUUGAAGGCAGAAACAUUACUUGUCAUAUAACAACUACUCAGAUUAUAUGAUGAGACGGGAAUGGCACAAUACAGAAUUGCAGUCAGUGAUUGUGAUGGAGAAAGCUGCUGUGAAGUACUGACAGUACUGACUAUCGCUGGUUGUACGAUUUGUGCAAUUUGUGAUAUAUUUUGUGUGAAAAACUGGAAAAGAAAGUGCAUCACUGCAUAACCUCACUUAUCGCAGUUUUGCACUUUUUGAUGAUGGGAAUUGCGGUUCAAGUAAUUAUGAGUUAUAGAUGGAGAGCCCUGUUUACUUCAAACUGAAGCCUUUUGGGUCCACUUUGUUCGUUAUUUCCUGGCAGCCACUCUUGUUUCAAGCAGAGUGGGUGUAAAGUUAAAAAUAAUCCCGUAAAAUUGUUAAUAUAACUCCUUUGCACUGGCAUGGGGUAUUUGAAAACUUACGUUUAACAAAUACGUCACAAAGUCUCAGCCAUCGUUGAAAAACAUAAUAAGGGCUUUAUAACAAGAAGCGCUUUCUGAUUUUACUGUGGACGUGUGGAAGAAUAGUGUGAAAUAUUGCGAAAAACCAACUUUUACUCUUGUUUACAUUUUUGUACGUCUCUAUCUGAGAGUAGUCUCUUGUAUAAAAAAUAUAGCCUACUAAUAAAGGAAAUUAAAGUGUUUUUAUUUCUGGGUUGCCCCCAAUUCCACUUCGCCCUUGCCUGAUAAUCAAGACACUGAUAAUGAAAUUGGUGUUAGUGCAUCGAAUACAAACGUGUUGAAUAGAUGAAUAAAAGAGAGACAACUGCUUUUUUCAAAAAGGCCAUUUCAAAUUUAUUCAAAAAGCACACCCCCAUUGAAAAGGGUCCAUUCACGAUGAAGUUUGGCUUCCUGCAUGACAUAGGUCUCGGGCACCAAUCUCACUGUAAAUGGUCUAAAUUGGUCUUGCAUCUCUAAGACAUGGACUCACUGAGAGCGACUUCUGCAGUAGGCUUGAGACCUGCCUGCCUGUCUCGCAACAAUCUCUGCAUUAUGAUUCCAAAUCAUUCUAUAAAACGCUGUCAAUUACAAGCCAUGAUAUGAGGCAUGAGGCCGUCUCAGUGUAUGUCUUGUGGUGUACAUUGAAACUGUUUCUUAAAGAACCCAUUCACAAUGAGAUCUGCUUCGCUACAUGCGGCGCGACAGGACUCAAAGACUAAUCCUCAAAGACACAAAAAAACUGACACAGUUUAUCAUUUUAAGCCAUUGACAGCGUUUUCGAAUGUUGGUGCAAAGACUUGUCGCGAGGCAGGUUUCAGUCUUCCGCCAACGUCAGUCUGAGUGAAACCCUCUCAAAGUGAUCUCAGCGAAAACCAUUCACAAUGAGAUUGACCUAUGAGGCCUAUGUCGUGCCGCAUGCAGCGAGAUAUGUCUCAUUGUUAAUGAAAAUAGGGCCUUUUUUGUUGUUUAAAGUCGUUUUUUAAAACUUUUGUGGCAAAUUUUACUGAUGUGGCAGAGAGGGGGCAUGCAAUUGGAACAUGACGAUGACUACCCUAAAAGGCACUUCGAGGCUUUUAUGGCCUUUUUAAUGCAAAUUUCAACUUUAAACCUGACAGUCAUACCAAGGUCAAACAUAACCUCAACAGUAAUCCAGCAACGGUACUUCAAAGCAUUUGAAAGUUUCUCCAUUUGUUUUUAAGUGUUCUAGUUGGUACAUUUUGCUGUACUUUACUACAAUAAAGAAAUAUUUAAAUUUU